GACGAACGCUGGCGGCGUGCUUAACACAUGCAAGUCGAACGGAAAGGCCCUGCUUUUGUGGGGUGCUCGAGUUGCGAACGGGUGAGUCACACGUGAGUAACCUGUCCUUGACUUUGGGAUAACUUCAGGAAAAUGGGUGUAAUACCGGAUAGGAUCUCCUGCUGCAUGGUGGGGGUUGGAAAGUUUCGGCGGUUGGGGAUGGACUCGCGGCUUAUCAGCUUGUUGGUGGGGUAGUGGCUUACCAAGGCUUUGACGGGUAGCCGGCCUGAGAGGGUGACCGGCCACAUUGGGACUGAGAUACGGCCCAGACUCCUACGGGAGGCAGCAGUGGGGAAUAGUGCACAAUGGGCGGAAGCCUGAUGCAGCAACGCCGCGUGCGGGAUGACGGCCUUCGGGUUGUAAACCGCUUUCGCCUGUGACGAAGCGUGAGUGACGGUAAUGGGUAAAGAAGCACCGGCUAACUACGUG
rnacentral:rRNA from 1 species